GCCCGGGCGUGUGCCAGGAUCAUGGCCGUGAGUGUCUCUGCUGUGGGCAGCUUUGGCUCACACUGAGCUUUCAUGACCUUGCUCUGAGCAGAGACACUGGCGAGGCCAAGGGCUCCGUCCUCAUCCUGCUGAGAGAUCAUUUUAUCUCCUCCGCCGCCUUCUCAGCCAUUUGAUCCCAUACCACCGCUUCACUCCUGGGAAAGGAUCUACCAUAUUUUGAAGUCUUGGGAGGGACGAGGUGUGGCUAGGGUGUGAGGUCACUGAACAGUGGUGGGUACAUACCAGCAAACAUGGCUACGUUUGUUUUGCUUUGUCUUGAUGGAGACUCUAUAAAUCUCCCUCUCCCAGUGCAAGUCCACUUUAUAAUUCCUCUGUGUCCUUUGUCCUUUUGUCUUUAUCCCAGAUCCAAUGUUUUGGAUUGCCAUAUGGAGAGAGAUGAGGAACUCUAUGUCCUGAAGUUGACAGGUACUUCCGAGUCUUUCCUUUGCUAGAUUAUGGGCUGACAUAAAAGAACCCAGGUUGUCAAAGAUCUUGGAAGUUGACUUCUUAUCAGCAUCUCCUGUGAGAUUUGAAUAAAAGAAUAAUCGGGACCUCAACAAGAGAGAUUGUGAAGUAACUGGUCCAGGG
rnacentral:lncRNA from 1 species